AGUGAACGCUGGCGGUAGGCCUAACACAUGCAAGUCGAACGGCAGCACAGUAAGAGCUUGCUCUUACGGGUGGCGAGUGGCGGACGGGUGAGGAAUACAUCGGAAUCUACUUUUUCGUGGGGGAUAACGUAGGGAAACUUACGCUAAUACCGCAUACGACCUACGGGUGAAAGCAGGGGAUCUUCGGACCUUGCGCGAUUGAAUGAGCCGAUGUCGGAUUAGCUAGUUGGCGGGGUAAAGGCCCACCAAGGCGACGAUCCGUAGCUGGUCUGAGAGGAUGAUCAGCCACACUGGAACUGAGACACGGUCCAGACUCCUGCGGGAGGGAGCAGUGGGGAAUAUUGGACAAUGGGCGCAAGCCUGAUCCAGCCAUACCGCGUGGGUGAAGAAGGCCUUCGGGUUGUAAAGCCCUUUUGUUGGGAAAGAAAAGCAGCAGGUUAAUACCCCGCUGUUCUGACGGUACCCAAAGAAUAAGCACCGGCUAACUUCGUG
rnacentral:rRNA from 1 species